AUAGUCCAGUCACAUCAUUAUGUCUGUCAAAUAUUGACAGCUGUAGAAAGUCAAAGUUAAUUCAAUCAAUAAUCUUCAUCACAAACUGCGUAUUUGCAGAAGCGUGAGAUAAACAUUUGAACGCAAAGAAAUAGCUUUAUGGAGGAUUCAUAAUAUGUUCACGUCAAUAACACUGAGCUCCUGUUCCUGAAUCUCUGCAAGCUUCUGUCAUACAUGCUUUAGCCAAGGGCUUAUGGUCAUAUGGUGCUUGUCAACACUGCAAAACAAUAAAAUAAUAAAAUAAAACCGUCAACCUGAAAGAGCUUCAGAGGAUGCGGCAACGUACCAUCCACCUACAACAUACCUGGGACUCAUGACUGUGGUGUCCUUGAGCAAGACACCUAUACACCAAACUGCUGCCUCAGCGCUCAAGUUCCCCCCUACUCCAGUACAACAUACAUUGCCACCUCCCUGACCCAUGACUAUUUUGAGGAUUUUUAUUAUUAAUAAUUAAUGAUAUUCAUCAACGUGAAGACACUGAUCAUGUUAAUUAUAUCGCACAGUAAUAUCAAAAAAUAUUUAUUUAAGAAGGUAGGAAACAUAAACAUAUUAUAUAUACACACACACAGUAUAUAUAUUAGGUGCCGCCAGUGAGACGUGAACGCCGCUUAUCUAACAGUCUACUUUGAAGGAGCAUGUGUUUUUGUAUUUUCUAUCAAAUAAAUACUGUAAAAUAAAUGUAAUUUAACCGGAACACUGUGCUUAUGAAUGAACACAGGUUUGAAUGGCUAGCAGUGUCAUAUACUGCCCUGCAGUUCCACUAUAGGAGCCUGGAGGGUGCUUUGCGUCCUCUCUCUCUCCCCCUCCCCUCUCUGUUUUCAGCACCUGUCUCCAAUCAGCCUCAUCACCACCGGUAUAUAAGCCUGCAUGUUCCAGGAAAUCCUCGCCAAAGUAUUGCAGUUACUUCCAGCGGUACCACGGCCCAUUUGCCUCCAAGGUUGCGGGCUGCUGGAGCCUAUCCCAGCUAUCUUCGGGCAGGACGCGGGGUAUACCCUGAAGCGGUUGCCAGCUAAUCUCAGGGCAAGUGACCGUCCACUGCCGCUCUCUCGGGGUUAAAGAAGCAUGCAAUGCAGCAACGCCUUGCACCUUGUCUCUCCCUCUCCCCUUCUUUCUCCCAAGCAAUCAGCAUCACCUGUGCCUUGCACCUGUCUUCAAGCAGCACUGAUUACUGCCUGCAUUUAAUCUUGUCAAGUCCAGCAAACGUUCGCCCGAGGACUGACACUUGUUUGUGACUCACUGACGCUCUGUGCCUUCCCCGCCUCGUUUCCUGCGACACCCACGCCUCCAAGCCACACCACCUGCUCACGUUCCCUCUUCCUGCUCGCUCCUUGUCCCCGACGGCCCACCACCUUGCCUUGGAUAUCCUUACCCUGUGCCAACCUGCAAUAAACCAUUCUAAAUCUACUCCCUCCACCCCAGUCUUGGGUCCAAUCCAACCCACAUCUGACUUCGCACCGUGACAAAACUGCUGGGUGAUCCAUUACCGUUUCCACAGUCCACAUCUGUCCUCUUUGUGGCGCUAAGUGGCUGUCUGUUAGCAUGGUUCUGCUCACCAUUUUGAGACAUCGGUAGAGUGGUUUCAUUCCCUGACUGUCCAUUUCCAUCCACAUACACUUCCAGAUGGUGGAUUUUCAUUUCCAGGACCGCCAUCUUCUGUAGCAGUUUGUGAUAUUGUCAGCGGGAGAGGGAGGCAUAUUAUUGCUGGUCUGUGUUUAGUUUUGUUCCAUGUUUGUUGUGUGCUCAUUUGGUUGUUGUGUCCACCUGUUCUCGUCUACCUUGUGUCGACCAAUCAGCUCUCUCCAGCCAUUCGUGUCUUGUCCAGGUAUCCCUCGUUGUCUCGUCAAUCUGUUUGUAUUUAGUUCCCCGGUUUCUUUCAUUUCUUGUCGGUUCAUUGUCGUUGUCACGUCUUUUCAGUAUGUCAUUGUCAGGUGUCAUUGUCUUUGUCUGUGCCAUGUCAUUGUCGCCAAAUGUCGCUCAGUCAUGUCUUGUUUCUUGUUAUGGGUUUACUCAAGUGUUUCUUUGUUACUUUGUGUUUAGAUUUUGGACUCUGUUAAUUUAGCAUUUAGACUUUUUCAUGAUCCUUGUUUUCCUUUGUUUUUUUUUUUGGAAAUUACAUUUUUUUUUUUUAUAUACUCCUGCACUACUGCGUUGCCUCCCUGCUUCCCUGCACUUGGGUCCUCCAUGUUUUUGCCUUGCCUUCCUUGCUAUCGACCAAACCCCAAACGUGAGAGUCUCCUUGCUAAUAGCAGUCUUGUGCUAAUUAGCAGGCCACCCUUACGUAAUGGUGAGUAAAACAACAACUGACUGUAACUACAAAAAAAGUACAGUCCCACAGGUUUAAAAAUAUACAGGAGUUGCUGCUUCUAGUUUCUUUGGAAGAAGAAAAACAAGCUUAUCAGCACGAAAAACGUAAACGGAGGCGAAGCAAGGCGAGUGAGCAGAAAAGUGUCUGCACUGUAUAAGAGCCUGUUUUAAAAGCCAACAAAAUUCCUAAUCAUAAAUAUUAGCCAAGA